rnacentral:rRNA from 1 species
CCUACGGGAGGCAGCAGUAAGGAAUAUUGGUCAAUGGACGAAAGUCUGAACCAGCCAUGCCGCGUGAAGGAUGAAGGCCCUCUGGGUUGUAAACUUCUUUUAUCUGGGACGAAAAAAGGGUAUUCUUACUCACUUGACGGUACCAGAGGAAUAAGCACCGGCUAACUCCGUGCCAGCAGCCGCGGUAAUACGGAGGGUGCAAGCGUUAUCCGGAUUCACUGGGUUUAAAGGGAGCGUAGGUGGGCUGAUAAGUCAGUGGUGAAAUCUCCGGGCUUAACCCGGAAACUGCCAUUGAUACUAUUAGUCUUGAAUUAUCUGGAGGUAAGCGGAAUAUGUCAUGUAGCGGUGAAAUGCUUAGAUAUGACAUAGAACACCAAUUGCGAAGGCAGCUUGCUACGGAUUGAUUGACACUGAGGCUCGAAAGCGUGGGGAUCAAACAGGAUUAGAUACCCUGGUAGUCCACGCCCUAAACGAUGGAUACUCGACAUCAGCGAUACACUGUUGGUGUCUGAGCGAAAGCAUUAAGUAUCCCACCUGGGAAGUACGACCGCAAGGUUGAAACGUCAAAGAUAGUAGCGUGAGAGAGCGACGACGGACGACGAGGGAGGAGG